rnacentral:rRNA from 1 species
UAGUGGCGAACGGGUGAGUAACACGUGGGCAAUCUGCCCUGCACUCUGGGACAAGCCCUGGAAACGGGGUCUAAUACCGGAUACGAGCCUGGGAGGCAUCUCCCGGGUUGGAAAGCUCCGGCGGUGCAGGAUGNGCCCGCGGCCUAUCAGCUUGUUGGUGAGGUAAUGGCUCACCAAGGCGACGACGGGUAGCCGGCCUGAGAGGGCGACCGGCCACACUGGGACUGAGACACGGCCCAGACUCCUACGGGAGGCAGCAGUGGGGAAUAUUGCACAAUGGGCGAAAGCCUGAUGCAGCGACGCCGCGUGAGGGAUGACGGCCUUCGGGUUGUAAACCUCUUUCAGCAGGGAAGAAGCGAGAGUGACGGUACCUGCAGAAGAAGCGCCGGCUAACUACGUGCCAGCAGCCGCGGUAAUACGUAGGGCGCAAGCGUUGUCCGGAAUUAUUGGGCGUAAAGAGCUCGUAGGCGGCUUGUCACGUCGGUUGUGAAAGCCCGGGGCUUAACCCCGGGUCUGCAGUCGAUACGGGCAGGCUAGAGUUCGGUAGGGGAGAUCGGAAUUCCU